GUGCUCGCUUCGGCAGCACAUAUACUAAAAUUGGAACGAUACAGAGAAGAUUAGCAUGGCCCCUGUGCAAGGAUGACACCCAACUGAGGGGUUCUUGCCACACAUCU
ensembl:snRNA U6 U6 spliceosomal RNA